UAACUAUUAUAUUUAGAUAAUGACAUCAUGUCCCUUCAUAUUUAUGUCUCUUUGUAUUUCAGGUUGAUAUCAACCUUUGUAAUACACACUUUAGGAGAAUUUAUAAAUAUCAUUAUUACAACUGUAUACUACAAUAUAUUUUCUUCUUUCUCCUCUUUUCACAGAGAUGACAUUAGUUGGGUUUGUUUCUGGCCACUAUCAUUGUAAAUUAGACUUCCACAUUCCUCACUCUAGUGGUUAACACACUUGAGUCAUCAAAUUUUAUCUAAUUAUCCGUGAGGUUGCACAUCGAUCAUGUUGAGCACCAUGUCUGAGCUCCCAGCCUCGUCGAUGUUUUUGCGGAGUUCUCAUUUCCUGAUCUUCAGCACGGAUUCAAUGUAAAGCUUAUUUCUCAUGAGUUGCUUGUUUGAGCCACCACUUGUCUUCCAACCAGGUAGCAGGCGGCUUUUCUCUUUCACUUUCAACGUCCGCACUGUGACAAUAAUUUCAGUUCUGCUGCCACGGUUCACUUCUGAAUAAUAUCGACUUACUCGAAGCCACCUUCAAAAGGUCUACUCGACAAUUGAACUUUUCUCUCUUGAUUCCGCGUUCACUUCUAGGACACUUCUUGAAAGGUGACUUGCUCAUGAGAAGCUCAAUCAAAACAACCCCGAUGGAGACUAACCAUCAACCAGGUACAAGGUCAUUAAUGAUCGAGAAAAGCGGGUAGCAAGGAAACAACAAACUCUAACUCCAAGUGUUGUGAUUGUGUGACCUUACACACAGUACAAUUUUCAGGAUUGUCAAAACGUAACUGCUUUGGUAAAUCUUCACACAUCGUUUGAGCGCUUCUUUUCGUUUCUGUCGUUUCAAUCGAACUAGGGGGGCUGUCAGUGGACUCACACCCACUGUACAAGUUAGUUGGUGAAAUAUUAGAUAAUCUGUGCAAAUCCAACGGUUGGCUUCAAACCGAGCAGAAAAAGGUUAUACAGUUUUUAAGUAUGAAAUAAGGCAAAGAACCGAUAGAGUCAAACAGGAAGAGACUACGAUGCUCAGACUGUUUCAUUGCUGUGUAAAACCGAACAAGGUGAGCAUUAUCAUAGAGAAAGAUUGCAGGAAUACACGGAAGAACCGUAUCAAUCUCAAUAUGACUCGCAUGCAGUCUUGGUCACUAACUAUUUUAGAGUCGUCGUCGUCGAAGUUCACAAUGUCUGAGGUGAUUGAUACUCAUAAUCAAUGUCCUCAGAACAAGGAGGUCGAAAUGGAAGCACCAAAUCUGGCAGUAUUUAUUUAUACCAUAAUUGUUUCACCGUGAACUGAGGUUGUUCUUCAAUCUAAGACUGCUUUUUUCACUGUCGAGUUGCAGUUCUAGGGUUCAUUUCUAGCAUCCGGUUUGAAAUGAAUCCAUAAGGUUCUGAUCUGUCCAUCAUUAAUUCAUUCAUGUUCGUCCUCAUGAAUUUAGAUGAUACGGUAGAAUACCAAAAUAGAAACAUAAAGUGGCUCAUGUAGUGAUUUCUCUGUU